GGGUUGUGAGGUUAAGCGACUAAGCGUACACGGUGGAUGCCCUGGCAGUCAGAGGCGAUGAAGGACGUGCUAAUCUGCGAUAAGCGUCGGUAAGGUGAUAUGAACCGUUAUAACCGGCGAUUUCCGAAUGGGGAAACCCAGUGUGAUUCGUCACACUAUCAUUAACUGAAUCCAUAGGUUAAUGAGGCGAACCGGGGGAACUGAAACAUCUAAGUACCCCGAGGAAAAGAAAUCAACCGAGAUUCCCCCAGUAGCGGCGAGCGAACGGGGAGGAGCCCAGAGCCUGAAUCAGUGUGUGUGUUAGUGGAAGCGUCUGGAAAGGCGCGCGAUACAGGGUGACAGCCCCGUACACAAAAAUGCACAUGCUGUGAGCUCGAUGAGUAGGGCGGGACACGUGGUAUCCUGUCUGAAUAUGGGGGGACCAUCCUCCAAGGCUAAAUACUCCUGACUGACCGAUAGUGAACCAGUACCGUGAGGGAAAGGCGAAAAGAACCCCGGCGAGGGGAGUGAAAAAGAACCUGAAACCGUGUACGUACAAGCAGUGGGAGCACGCUUAGGCGUGUGACUGCGUACCUUUUGUAUAAUGGGUCAGCGACUUAUAUUCUGUAGCAAGGUUAACCGAAUAGGGGAGCCGAAGGGAAACCGAGUCUUAACUGGGCGUUAAGUUGCAGGGUAUAGACCCGAAACCCGGUGAUCUAGCCAUGGGCAGGUUGAAGGUUGGGUAACACUAACUGGAGGACCGAACCGACUAAUGUUGAAAAAUUAGCGGAUGACUUGUGGCUGGGGGUGAAAGGCCAAUCAAACCGGGAGAUAGCUGGUUCUCCCCGAAAGCUAUUUAGGUAGCGCCUCGUGAAUUCAUCUCCGGGGGUAGAGCACUGUUUCGGCAAGGGGGUCAUCCCGACUUACCAACCCGAUGCAAACUGCGAAUACCGGAGAAUGUUAUCACGGGAGACACACGGCGGGUGCUAACGUCCGUCGUGAAGAGGGAAACAACCCAGACCGCCAGCUAAGGUCCCAAAGUCAUGGUUAAGUGGGAAACGAUGUGGGAAGGCCCAGACAGCCAGGAUGUUGGCUUAGAAGCAGCCAUCAUUUAAAGAAAGCGUAAUAGCUCACUGGUCGAGUCGGCCUGCGCGGAAGAUGUAACGGGGCUAAACCAUGCACCGAAGCUGCGGCAGCGACGCUGAUGCGUUGUUGGGUAGGGGAGCGUUCUGUAAGCCUGCGAAGGUGUGCUGUGAGGCAUGCUGGAGGUAUCAGAAGUGCGAAUGCUGACAUAAGUAACGAUAAAGCGGGUGAAAAGCCCGCUCGCCGGAAGACCAAGGGUUCCUGUCCAACGUUAAUCGGGGCAGGGUGAGUCGACCCCUAAGGCGAGGCCGAAAGGCGUAGUCGAUGGGAAACAGGUUAAUAUUCCUGUACUUGGUGUUACUGCGAAGGGGGGACGGAGAAGGCUAUGUUGGCCGGGCGACGGUUGUCCCGGUUUAAGCGUGUAGGCUGGUUUUCCAGGCAAAUCCGGAAAAUCAAGGCUGAGGCGUGAUGACGAGGCACUACGGUGCUGAAGCAACAAAUGCCCUGCUUCCAGGAAAAGCCUCUAAGCAUCAGGUAACAUCAAAUCGUACCCCAAACCGACACAGGUGGUCAGGUAGAGAAUACCAAGGCGCUUGAGAGAACUCGGGUGAAGGAACUAGGCAAAAUGGUGCCGUAACUUCGGGAGAAGGCACGCUGAUAUGUAGGUGAAGCGACUUGCUCGUGGAGCUGAAAUCAGUCGAAGAUACCAGCUGGCUGCAACUGUUUAUUAAAAACACAGCACUGUGCAAACACGAAAGUGGACGUAUACGGUGUGACGCCUGCCCGGUGCCGGAAGGUUAAUUGAUGGGGUCAGCGCAAGCGAAGCUCUUGAUCGAAGCCCCGGUAAACGGCGGCCGUAACUAUAACGGUCCUAAGGUAGCGAAAUUCCUUGUCGGGUAAGUUCCGACCUGCACGAAUGGCGUAAUGAUGGCCAGGCUGUCUCCACCCGAGACUCAGUGAAAUUGAACUCGCUGUGAAGAUGCAGUGUACCCGCGGCAAGACGGAAAGACCCCGUGAACCUUUACUAUAGCUUGACACUGAACAUUGAGCCUUGAUGUGUAGGAUAGGUGGGAGGCUUUGAAGUGUGGACGCCAGUCUGCAUGGAGCCGACCUUGAAAUACCACCCUUUAAUGUUUGAUGUUCUAACGUUGACCCGUGAUCCGGGUUGCGGACAGUGUCUGGUGGGUAGUUUGACUGGGGCGGUCUCCUCCUAAAGAGUAACGGAGGAGCACGAAGGUUGGCUAAUCCUGGUCGGACAUCAGGAGGUUAGUGCAAUGGCAUAAGCCAGCUUGACUGCGAGCGUGACGGCGCGAGCAGGUGCGAAAGCAGGUCAUAGUGAUCCGGUGGUUCUGAAUGGAAGGGCCAUCGCUCAACGGAUAAAAGGUACUCCGGGGAUAACAGGCUGAUACCGCCCAAGAGUUCAUAUCGACGGCGGUGUUUGGCACCUCGAUGUCGGCUCAUCACAUCCUGGGGCUGAAGUAGGUCCCAAGGGUAUGGCUGUUCGCCAUUUAAAGUGGUACGCGAGCUGGGUUUAGAACGUCGUGAGACAGUUCGGUCCCUAUCUGCCGUGGGCGCUGGAGAAUGAGGGGGCUGCUCCUAGUACGAGAGGACCGGAGUGGACGCAUCACUGGUGUUCGGGUUGUCAUGCCAAUGGCACUGCCCGGUAGCUAAAUGCGGAAGAGAUAAGUGCUGAAAGCAUCUAAGCACGAAACUUGCCCCGAGAUGAGUUCUCCCUGACUCCUUGAGAGUCCUGAAGGAACGUUGAAGACGACGACGUUGAUAGGCCGGGUGUGUAAGCGCAGCGAUGCGUUGAGCUAACCGGUACUAAUGAACCGUGAGGCUUAACCUUACAACGCCGAAG
rnacentral:rRNA from 1 species